rnacentral:lncRNA from 10 species
CAAAAACAGUGAUUCCUGAAAGACAGGAGAUGAAUGAGGUGAGUCCUGUGAUUACCCCGGUUUAAUGUUUUGAGAGAGAGUCCAGUCUGUAGUGCAGGGGGGAAGAACCCAAGUCGAGCCUGGAAGACUCCCUGACUAGAAAUAGAGCUAAAAGUUGGGAGUGAAUAAAGUGACAAGAGUCACUGGAAUGUCUACCAGGCAAGAUAUCUGAAGAUCUGUAACUCCCUUUGAGUUUUAAGCUGAGCAAUAAUUAGCACAUGCAUGGAAGGAAACUACCUGAGGCCAGGAACAGAAUCACCUGGAAGGACAGAGGUAACAGUGUCUGGCAUUCACACAGAGUCAACAUAGUGCCUGUACCCAGAAAUCACACUGGAAAACCUCAUGUUUCAUAAGGCAUUUGGUAGAAUACUCAGAAAGGUCUUGUCUUGGUAAUGGGGGAUAAUUAGCCCUGUAAUACGAGGACUGCUCUCGUCCCAUUUAAUAAAUCAUGAAACCAAAACCUGAAAGGAUUGAACUAUUUUCACAUACAUUAACUGUGUCCCAGAACAAAGCUGAUUUGGUUUGGCUGUAUCUCCAGGAGGGGAACAAUACACACUGGCGCCUGUUGAGGGUUGGGGUGAGAGGAGAGAGAACAUUAUGAAAAACAGCUAAUGC